rnacentral:rRNA from 1 species
GUCUACGGCCAUACCACCCUGAACGCACCAGAUCCCGUCUGAUCUCAGAAGCUAAUAAGCAGGGUCGGACCUGGUUAGUACUUGGAUGGGCAGAACUUCUGUUUUAUGAAUG